CGUUGUUGGGUAGGGGAGCGUUCUGUAAGCCUGCGAAGGUGGCCUGUGAGGGUUGCUGGAGGUAUCAGAAGUGCGAAUGCUGACAUAAGUAACGAUAAAGCGGGUGAAAAGCCCGCUCGCCGGAAGACCAAGGGUUCCUGUCCAACGUUAAUCGGGGCAGGGUGAGUCGACCCCUAAGGCGAGGCCGAAAGGCGUAGUCGAUGGGAAACGGGUUAAUAUUCCCGUACUUGGUGUUACUGCGAAGGGGGGACGGAGAAGGCUAUGUUGGCCGGGCGACGGUUGUCCCGGUUUAAGCGUGUAGGCUGGUUUUCCAGGCAAAUCCGGAAAAUCAAGGCUGAGGCGUGAUGACGAGGCACUACGGUGCUGAAGCAACAAAUGCCCUGCUUCCAGGAAAAGCCUCUAAGCAUCAGGUAACAUCAAAUCGUACCCCAAACCGACACAGGUGGUCAGGUAGAGAAUACCAAGGCGCUUGAGAGAACUCGGGUGAAGGAACUAGGCAAAAUGGUGCCGUAACUUCGGGAGAAGGCACGCUGACACGUAGGUGAAGUGAUUUACUCAUGGAGCUGAAGUCAGUCGAAGAUACCAGCUGGCUGCAACUGUUUAUUAAAAACACAGCACUGUGCAAACACGAAAGUGGACGUAUACGGUGUGACGCCUGCCCGGUGCCGGAAGGUUAAUUGAUGGGGUCAGCGCAAGCGAAGCUCCUGAUCGAAGCCCCGGUAAACGGCGGCCGUAACUAUAACGGUCCUAAGGUAGCGAAAUUCCUUGUCGGGUAAGUUCCGACCUGCACGAAUGGCGUAAUGAUGGCCAGGCUGUCUCCACCCGAGACUCAGUGAAAUUGAACUCGCUGUGAAGAUGCAGUGUACCCGCGGCAAGACGGAAAGACCCCGUGAACCUUUACUAUAGCUUGACACUGAACAUUGAGCCUUGAUGUGUAGGAUAGGUGGGAGGCUUUGAAGUGUGGACGCCAGUCUGCAUGGAGCCGACCUUGAAAUACCACCCUUUAAUGUUUGAUGUUCUAACGUGGACCCGUUACCCGGGUUGCGGACAGUGUCUGGUGGGUAGUUUGACUGGGGCGGUCUCCUCCUAAAGAGUAACGGAGGAGCACGAAGGUUGGCUAAUCCUGGUCGGACAUCAGGAGGUUAGUGCAAUGGCAUAAGCCAGCUUGACUGCGAGCGUGACGGCGCGAGCAGGUGCGAAAGCAGGUCAUAGUGAUCCGGUGGUUCUGAAUGGAAGGGCCAUCGCUCAACGGAUAAAAGGUACUCCGGGGAUAACAGGCUGAUACCGCCCAAGAGUUCAUAUCGACGGCGGUGUUUGGCACCUCGAUGUCGGCUCAUCACAUCCUGGGGCUGAAGUAGGUCCCAAGGGUAUGGCUGUUCGCCAUUUAAAGUGGUACGCGAGCUGGGUUUAGAACGUCGUGAGACAGUUCGGUCCCUAUCUGCCGUGGGCGCUGGAGAACUGAGGGGGGCUGCUCCUAGUACGAGAGGACCGGAGUGGACGCAUCACUGGUGUUCGGGUUGUCAUGCCAAUGGCACUGCCCGGUAGCUAAAUGCGGAAGAGAUAAGUGCUGAAAGCAUCUAAGCACGAAACUUGCCCCGA
rnacentral:rRNA from 1 species